UAAAAGAACAAAUUAUCGUAAUAGAGAAUUUUCAAAUUUUAGGGUUAAGAAAAAAUGGUAUGAAAUUUAAUUUCAUCAGCUUCUUCAGCUUCACGCUAAACUUAAAGAUGGCCUCAAUCUCUUCCCGCUGGUGGGAACUCUGCAAAUCUCGCCGGAACUUCAUUUCUUCUCUAAUUCCUUCAGAGAAAGUUCUACGUUAUUGCUAAUCAAGGGACGAAGUUAAAUCUGGCGUCCGAUAUCUGGAAGCGACUUUUCGCGCCAAGAAGCAGAAGAUCUGCUCCAAUUCUUCCGAUUAUUCGUCUUGGUCGGCAAUUCAAUCAAACAAUGGAAGUUAUCAACCCUUUCAAGCUCUGUUCCGGCCUCAAAUUCCUUGGCUACUUCAUGAUCCUCUUGGUUUUCGCCAUCGUUGCAGUUUCCUACGAUGCGGUUGUAGUCCUCACUUGGGGCCCCAAAUUACUCAUGGGCGGCUUCCACUCCUUCCUCGCCUUCUCCAUCAUCAUUUUGUUUCAUGUUCUGCUUUUACUCUUGUCGUGGAGCUACUUUAUGGUACUCCUUGAAGAUCCUGGUUCUGUACCAGCAAAUUGGAUAUUGGCAAAUGAAGCAGACAAUAUGGAGGUUGGUAGUUCGUCAUUGCCGGAACAUGGAGCAACGGGGGAUGCCACUUAUUCCUCUUCAGAUGGUGCCGGGAGAAGACCUACAGCCUAUUGUCGUCAAUGCCAAAAUGGAAAACCGCCACGUUGUCAUCAUUGCUCUGUUUGUCAAAGAUGUGUUCUUAAGAUGGAUCAUCAUUGUAUCUGGGUGGUGAAUUGUGUUGGAGCACGCAACUACAAAUUCUUUCUUCUUUUCUUGCUCUACACAUUCUUGGAGACAACAAUGGAUACGCUUGUUUUGCUGCCUAGUUUUAUCAAAUUUUUUGAUGAAGCUAAGAGUCACUCUGGUUCUCCUGCCAAUCUUGUUAUCCUUUUUUUAGCUUUUGUUCUUAAUUUAGCCUUUGCACUCAGUCUUCUUUGUUUCGUAGUUAUGCAUGCAUCUCUCCUGUUGAGCAACACAACAUCAAUUGAGGUUCACGAGAAGAGAAGAGCAGUUCAAUGGAAGUAUGACCUAGGCAAGAAGAAAAACUUUGAGCAGGUAUUUGGGACGAAGGCAGCACUGUGGCUUUUCCCAUUGUUUUCGAAGGAGGAUUUGGAGAAAAUUCCUGCACUUCGAGGCUUGGAAUUCCCUAUUCGUUCUGAUAUGGAGUCUUGACACUUCUUUCCCGGUGGUCGAUCAUGAUCCAAGGAUGAAACUAAAGAAGAAAUUCUGUCCAUGGAAUUGCAGAAACUGGAGAUGGAAACAGAGAUCAAAACGAAGAUGGGAGCAAUCAUCAAAACAAGGCUAAAAGGCAUGGGAGAGAAGAACUCAUGACAGCUUCUUUAUUGGACAAAAUAAAACAAGUGAUGGUAACACAAUAGUUUUUUGAAGGACACAACUGGGUUAGGGGGAAACAUUUACAGUCUUGUAACCUAAAAAACUUGAAAAAGAAGUAGAGAAGGAAGAAUUGGUGUGAUGGCAGAGUAACAUUAUAUGUAGAUGAUCAUCCAAUUUGAACAGAUUGUUGGAUGACAUGGUCUGAGGAUGGAGCUGCACUAGUAGUAUUGUGAUCCAUGGAAGUGCAGAAAGCAGAGAUGAGAAAAGACAUCAAAACAAAUAUUGGUGCAAUCAUCAAAACAAGACCAAAAGGUACCAUCCACAGUUGUCUAUUUGUUGGAUGAAACUGAAAUACCCACCAACCAAAAACAAGCCCUCCCAUCAGGCAUGCCACUGCCAUUGAAAUCACCCAAAUUGCUAUCUUACAACUCUUCAUAUUCCCUUUCAUCUUCUCAUCUCUCUCUUCUUCUUUCAUUGCUGACUCCAUUGCGAAUCCACCACCUUCUUCUCCACCCCUUGCAGAUCUCCAUGUUUGAUCCAUUACAAAAUUACCCAAUAAGCUCUUCAGAAGAACUAGAAAUCGCUGAAGAGAAAAGAAUGAGGGAAAAAAACAGAGAAAAAGAGAGAAUGAUGGCUGUAGAGGGGCUAAAGGAUUUGAUUUGGCAAGUGAUUGUAGACAAGAAACAAAGCGUAGGAUUUUAUCAAAGUUUGAAAUUAGCAUCAGCAAUUGACGUAGCUAUCUGGGGUUAGAUUUUUAUUGCCUUUUAUGAUAUAAUAUGUGUCAUAGACUCACAAACACCAAUAUCUUAAGCCCUUCUAAUUGUUUCAUAUAAACAUCUCUCUCCUUGAAAUUUGAGUUCAUCUUGGACUCUAGAAAAUUAGGAUCUACACUGUGAACUGUGAAGUUAUACUUAUAGGUGAACUGCUUCCAUUUGAAGCAUUGGAA